AUGUGUUCAGUGUGUAAUUCACUAAUGUCUGAUGUCUGUGUUUGUUUUUCCAGUAGCUUCUCCCACUACAGGAGAUGUUUCAGUAUGCUGGGACACACGGAGAAUUUGUGGUACAGGUACGAGAGCUACAACUCAAGACAUGCGUCUGAGAUCUUGAGCUGGUUUGCUUUGUUUUCUUUCUAUGGAAGCUUGUUUCCACAACAGGAUUUAAAAAGAAAAGCUGGAACAUUGGACCCGCUCAUAUCAUCUCCUUUUCCACUGAAGUCUAUUUCUAUCUGGAUUACGGCCUGGAUCUGCUCUUCAGACAGUAUGAGUGGCUGCAGGCGGAUCUACAGAUUUGUAGAAAUGUAGCAUUGCAUCAGUGUCUCAGCAAUGGAUGCUCUGCAGUGAAUGGGUGCCGUCAGAAUGAGAGUCCAAACAGCUGAUAAAAACAUCACAAUAAUCCACAAGUAAUCCACAGCACUCCAGUCCAUCAGUUAACAUCUGGAGAAGACAAAAGAUGAAACACAUCCAGCAUUAAGACGAUUUUAACUCAAAUACAUAGAGUCUAUAAUCCAUAAUAACACUUCCUCCAGUAAAAAAGUGCAUCUGCUGUUGUCUCUCACAUCAAAAUCCAGUCACAGAUUUGUUUAGAGCUGUUUAAACGCUGCUAGAUCUGUGCAGAUUUCUCUCCUGAUUCACACCAGAUCACUUUUUCACUGAGUCAUCGAUCAGAUGCUGCUGGUGAAGGAGAAACACGGAGCGGACGCCUGACGCUGAACAUCCACGCGCUCUCAGGAAACACAAUCUACAUUGAGACGUACUUUAAUCAAACAAACGAGGGAACGAGGAUCAAACAUGACGCUCUCAUGCAGCAGAGUUCUUCAGACUCCUUCCAGACAGAUUCACUGUGCUGGAUCAUAAGUGACCCUGGAGCACAAAACCAGUCAUCAGGGUCAAUUUUUUUGCAAAGUUCUGAAUAAAUCAUCUCUCCAUUGAUGUAUGGUUUGUUAG
ensembl:lncRNA